CUCAGUAAACUUUUAACAUUGCUGUAAUGUAGACGUUUAAUCAUUGAUCGUCAAGCUAAAUCAAAUUUAAGAAAUUUUACUGUUGCUGUAAAUACCGUUUUAACGUUAAAAAUUCUCCAACCUUGAAGUUUUUUUAAAUAUGGCAUUGAGAUAACAUUUGUAACUCCCCCCGGAAAGUUUACUCUAUGUAUCUCUCGCUUGAAUUUCGCCACUCAUCACAAUAGUGCAACGUUUCCAUGGAAACAUUGCACUAAAAAAUGACAUAAAAUAUGACAUAAAAUAUCCCACAUUUGUGGCUUGCAGAUUAUCACAACACGUGUCUAAAAUGCAUGAAGUAGGAUUUCCCAGACCCUAAACAUAGAAAUAUUUUCCGGGGUCCAUGCUUCAGGUAGGCCGAAGAAUUAGACCCUCGAUGAGACCACUCAUUCAGGGGCUGGAUACGCCCUUCAUGGCACUAUUAAGAUGGAUGCACUUAUACCUUUGCAUUCCUGAGAUUACACCUACAAUACAACACAGGUAAAAUUAUUUCUAUUGAUUAGAAUUUUUCCUUUUAUUUUUUUCCAAAUUUUACAAUUAUCUUUUUUUCCUUUCUUGGGGAAUAUUUUAUGGCAACUAAAAUCGUUUCUGGAACCAAUGGUUCCGUGGUCCACCUGUGGGCCUUACCAUCUUAAAUAUCAAUUAUUCGAUAUAUAUCUGGGUAACAACUGGGAAAUGAAGCCAUGCAUUUACCUACAUUUAAAAGUUUUCUGGCAGCGGUGCUGCUGCCGGACAUUUGCCAACACUGUUUUUUAACCUCUUCCAGUUUAUGUUUUCAUCACCAUAUAUAUUAGAGACCUUAAGAUGUAGGACGGCAAAGCGACGACGGCGACCAAAACAAAUUCACCCAAAUAAAUUAUUGUAAAGAAAUCUUAUCGUACAUUAUCAAUCGUAUGAAUUCGCGCGCUUUUCUUAACUCUCGCAACAUUCCCGCGUGUUUGGAUCAGGCCAUCCAAACACGGAAACCAUAAAGUAAUUGUAUAGUAACAAUGGAUAUAAUAUUCAAGAAGAUUGUUGAAUGAUAUAACAGCUCAAAAAACACUUUCUGUAUAUUUUCUAGCCUGAGUAUCAGACUUACUUUACAAAACAAAGUCUGACAAAUCUUAAUUAGAAAAAUAAAGUUUAUAUUUAGGGACGGGCCAUUACAAAUGUGAGGGAGGAGGGGGAAAGAAAGAAAGCAAAGCAAAAUAUACCUUAAUUAAAAUUCCUGACCGCAGAAAAAAUUGUCCGAUGGUCCGCCUCUUAGUAUCCAACAUCUCAAAAUGACAUAUUAAAUUUCCUAGUUAGGCCAUCUUUCACUUCCCUCCACUCCCAACUAAGGAAGGGAAAAUGGCAUGAAACCCAGGCUAUAUAUUUUCAGGUUAGUAUAUCCUUCACCCAACUUUUUGAAUAUUAAAUAAUUAUCCAUUAUAUGCAACAUCAAUCAGGUUCAAACCCUUUUAUGGUGGGUAAACGAGCCCUCAUGUCUUCCAGAUUACGCAACUUUUGUUGAG